CCCUUAGAUGUUCUGGGCUGCACGCGCGCUACACUGACCGGUGCAACAAGCAUCCGUCCUUGGCCGACAGGCCCGGGCAAUCUUUGAACGCCGGUCGUGAUGGGGAUAGACUUUUGCAAUUUUUGGUCUUCAACGAGGAAUUCCUAGUAAACGCAAGUCAUCAACUUGCAUUGAUUACGUCCCUGCCCUUUGUACACACCGCCCGUCGCACCUACCGAUUGAAUGGUCCGGUGAAGCCUCCGGAUUGGCGCGCACCUCGGUGCCGCCGAGAAGUUGGCUAAACCUUACCAUUUAGAGGAAGGUGAAGUCGUAACA
rnacentral:rRNA from 1 species